rnacentral:rRNA from 1 species
GACAGAGGGUGCAAACGUUGUUCGGAAUUACUGGGCGUAAAGCGAGUGUAGGCGGUUUGGUAAGUCGGAUGUGAGAGCCCCGGGCUCAACCCGGGAAGUGCACUCGAUACUGCCAAGCUAGAGUAUCGGAGAGGUUGGUGGAAUUCUCGGUGUAGAGGUGAAAUUCGUAGAUAUCGAGAGGAACACCGGUGGCGAAGGCGGCCAACUGGACGAAUACUGACGCUGAGACUCGAAAGCGUGGGGAGCAAACAGG